rnacentral:rRNA from 1 species
AUUAGACGAAUCAUCUGGAAAGAUGAAUCAAAGAAGGUAAUAAUCCUGUAGUCGAAAAUGUUGUCUCUCUUGAGUGGAUCCUGAGUACGACGGAGCACGUGAAAUUCCGUCGGAAUCUGGGAGGACCAUCUCCUAAGGCUAAAUACUCUCUAGUGACCGAUAGUGAACCAGUACCGUGAGGGAAAGGUGAAAAGCACCCCGGAAGGGGAGUGAAAUAGAACCUGAAACCGUGUGCUUACAAGUAGUCAGAGCCCGUUAAUGGGUGAUGGCGUGCCUUUUGUAGAAUGAACCGGCGAGUUACGAUUUGAUGCAAGGUUAAGCAGUAAAUGUGGAGCCGUAGCGAAAGCGAGUCUGAAUAGGGCGUUUAGUAUUUGGUCGUAGACCCGAAACCAGGUGAUCUACCCUUGGUCAGGUUGAAGUUCAGGUAACACUGAAUGGAGGACCGAACCGACUUACGUUGAAAAGUGAGCGGAUGAACUGAGGGUAGCGGAGAAAUUCCAAUCGAACCUGGAGAUAGCUGGUUCUCUCCGAAAUAGCUUUAGGGCUAGCCUCAAGUGAUGAUUAUUGGAGGUAGAGCACUGUUUGGACGAGGGGCCCCUCUCGGGUUACCGAAUUCAGACAAACUCCGAAUGCCAAUUAAUUUAACUUGGGAGUCAGAACAUGGGUGAUAAGGUCCGUGUUCGAAAGGGAAACAGCCCAGACCACCAGCUAAGGUCCCAAAAUAUAUGUUAAGUGGAAAAGGAUGUGGCGUUGCCCAGACAACUAGGAUGUUGGCUUAGAAGCAGCCAUCAUUUAAAGAGUGCGUAAUAGCUCACUAGUCGAGUGACACUGCGCCGAAAAUGUACCGGGGCUAAACAUAUUACCGAAGCUGUGGAUUGUCCUUUGGACAAUGGUAGGAGAGCGUUCUAAGGGCGUUGAAGCAUGAUCGUAAGGACAUGUGGAGCGCUUAGAAGUGAGAAUGCCGGUGUGAGUAGCGAAAGA